rnacentral:rRNA from 1 species
UGCAGUCGUACGGUAGAGAUUCUUUCGGGGAUCUUGAGAGUGGCGCACGGGUGCGUAACGCGUAUGCAACCUACCUGUUACAGGGGGAUAGCCCGGGGAAACCCGGAUUAAUACCCCAUGGUAUAUAGAUACCGCAUGGUAUUUAUAUUAAAGAUUUAUCGGUAACAGAUGGGCAUGCGUAGGAUUAGCUAGUUGGUAAGGUAACGGCUUACCAAGGCUACGAUCCUUAGGGGUUCUGAGAGGAAGGUCCCCCACACUGGCACUGAGAUACGGGCCAGACUCCUACGGGAGGCAGCAGUAGGGAAUAUUGGGCAAUGGAGGGAACUCUGACCCAGCCAUGCCGCGUGCAGGAAGACGGCCUUACGGGUUGUAAACUGCUUUUAUCAGGGAAGAAAAAGCCUAUGCGUAGGAAAUUGCCGGUACCUGAUGAAUAAGCACCGGCUAACUCCGUGCCAGCAGCCGCGGUAAUACGGAGGGUGCAAGCGUUGUCCGGAUUUAUUGGGUUUAAAGGGUGCGUAGGCGGCUUUAUAAGUCAGCGGUGAAAUGCCAGGGCUCAACCCCGGCACUGCCGUUGAUACUGUAUAGCUUGAGUGCGUUCUGGGUACAUGGAAUUUAUGGUGUAGCGGUGAAAUGCAUAGAUACCAUAAGGAACACCGAUAGCGAAGGCAUUGUACUGGGACGUAACUGACGCUGAUGCACGAAAGCGUGG